UUUGAGUCCGGGUGAAGCUCGGCUGCAGAGUCCCAGCCUCCCUCCCUCGUCACCUUAUUGCCAGAUGCAGUUUCACUUCCACAUCAGCGCAGUGAGUGCUGGGUCACUCAGAGUGCUUAUGCAGCAAGCUGAGGGACGUGAAGCAAUCUUGUGGUCACGCAGUCACAACACUGUCUCUCAAUGGAGCCCAGAGACUCUGCCUCUCGGCCCGCACCAGCAGCCGUACAAGGUUGUGUUCAGUGGUGUGGAUGCAGAGGAGGUCUAGGGGCCCAGUGGGAUGCAGAUCAGAAUGUUGCUGUGGAUGAUAUCUCUUUAUAAACUGUGAAAAAUCAUUCCAACCCCCAGCUCUGUCAGCCUACGGAUGUUCAUUUGAAGAUGGUUUGUGUGGUUGGGUGCAGGGGGGUGAAGACAACUUGGACUGG